GGGUGCGUAACACGUGGGCAAUCUGCCCUCCGAUGGGGAAUAACCCCGCGAAAGCGGGGCUAAUACCGCAUAACAUUCCUUGGACUACGGUUUGAGGAUUCAAAGCAGUGAUGCGUCGGAGGAGGAGCCCGCGCCCGAUUAGCUAGUUGGUGAGGUAACGGCUCACCAAGGCAAUGAUCGGUAGCUGGUCUGAGAGGAUGAUCAGCCACACUGGAACUGAGACACGGUCCAGACUCCUACGGGAGGCAGCAGUGGGGAAUCUUGCGCAAUGGGCGAAAGCCUGACGCAGCGACGCCGCGUGGGGGAUGAAGCUUUUCGGAGUGUAAACCCCUUUCGACUGGGACGAAUGCCCGCAAGGGAGUGACGGUACCAGUAGAAGAAGCCCCGGCUAACUACGUGCCAGCAGCCGCGGUAAGACGUAGGGGGCCAGCGUUGUUCGGAAUUACUGGGUGUAAAGGGUUCGUAGGCGGUGUGGCAAGUCGGGAGUGAAAUCUUUGGGCUUAACUCAGAGGCUGCUUCCGAAACUGCUGUGCUUGAGUGUGGGAGAGGCGCGUGGAAUUGCAGGUGUAGCGGUGAAAUGCGUAGAUAUCUGCAGGAACACCCGUGGCGAAAGCGGCGCGCUGGACCAUAACUGACGCUGAG
rnacentral:rRNA from 1 species